GGAUGUGAGAGCAAUCUGGCUGCAACAUUUCUCACCCCACUGAUCGCCAGGGUUGACUCAGCUGAUCUGGCUGGCUAGGUGCGUGUCCCCUUCCUCCCUCACCGCUCCAUGUGUGUCCCUCCCAAAGCUGCAAGCUCCUUCAAAGAGGACGGCCUUCCCUAUAGAGAGAUGGUUGGGGGUGUACGAGUACCUGUGCUCCCCUGCUAACUAACACCUCCAAAAGAGCUCUCAAGGAAAAGUCAUGAUGUAGGUUUCUAUGUUUUUCUGUGCAAAAAUGUGCCCUAG
rnacentral:snRNA from 1 species